GAUGAACGCUGGCGGCGUGCCUAAUACAUGCAAGUCGAGCGAACAGACGAGGAGCUUGCUCCUCUGACGUUAGCGGCGGACGGGUGAGUAACACGUGGAUAACCUACCUAUAAGACUGGGAUAACUUCGGGAAACCGGAGCUAAUACCGGAUAAUAUAUUGAACCGCAUGGUUCAAUAGUGAAAGACGGUUUUGCUGUCACUUAUAGAUGGAUCCGCGCCGCAUUAGCUAGUUGGUACGGUAACGGCUUACCAAGGCGACGAUGCGUAGCCGACCUGAGAGGGUGAUCGGCCACACUGGAACUGAGACACGGUCCAGACUCCUACGGGAGGCAGCAGUAGGGAAUCUUCCGCAAUGGGCGAAAGCCUGACGGAGCAACGCCGCGUGAGUGAUGAAGGUCUUCGGAUCGUAAAGCUCUGUUAUUAGGGAAGAACAAAUGUGUAAGUAACUAUGCACGUCUUGACGGUACCUAAUCAGAAAGCCACGGCUAACUACGUG
rnacentral:rRNA from 1 species